GAUUCUGGCUCAGAUUGAACGCUGGCGGCAUGCCUUACACAUGCAAGUCGAACGGUAACAGGUCUUCGGAUGCUGACGAGUGGCGAACGGGUGAGUAAUACAUCGGAACGUGCCCGAUCGUGGGGGGAUAACGAGGCGAAAGCUUUGCUAAUACCGCAUACGAUCUACGGAUGAAAGCGGGGGAUCUUCGGACCUCGCGCGGACGGAGCGGCCGAUGGCAGAUUAGGUAGUUGGUGGGAUAAAAG
rnacentral:rRNA from 1 species